CCUACGGGAGGCAGCAGUGAGGAAUAUUGGUCAAUGGCCGGAAGGCUGAACCAGCCAUGCCGCGUGAAGGUCAGUGCCCUAUGGGCGUUUAACCUCUUUUGUGCGGGAGCAAUAAUGGUCACGUGUGGCCAGACGAGAGUACCGUACGAAUAAGCAUCGGCUAACUCCGUGCCAGCAGCCGCGGUAAUACGGGGGAUGCAAGCGUUAUCCGGAUUUAUUGGGUUUAAAGGGUGCGUAGGCUGUGAGGUAUGUCAGCGGGGAAAUGCCCCCGCGCAACGGGGUGAAGUGCCAUUGAUACUGCCUUGCUGGAAUGCGGAUGCCGUGGGAGGAAUGUGUGGUGUAGCGGUGAAAUGCAUAGAUAUCACACAGAACACCGAUUGCGAAGGCAUCUCACGAAUCCGCGAUUGACGCUGAUGCACGAAAGCGUGGGUAUCAAACAGGAUUAGAUACCCUUGUAGUC
rnacentral:rRNA from 1 species